rnacentral:rRNA from 1 species
AUUGACCUCGGAUCAGGUAGGGAUACCCGCUGAACUUAAGCAUAUCAAUAAGCGGAGGAAAAGAAACCAACAGGGAUUGCCUCAGUAACGGCGAGUGAAGCGGCAAUAGCUCAAAUUUGAAAUCUGGCCCCUUUCGGGGUCCGAGUUGUAAUUUGUAGAGAGUGCUUCGGGCGAGACAACGGUCUAAGUUCAUUGGAACAUGGCCUCAUAGAGGGUGAGAAUCCCGUAUGCGACCGUGGCUUGAGCCCAUGUGAAGCCUCUUCGACGAGUCGAGUUGUUUGGGAAUGCAGCUCAAAAUGGGUGGUAAAUUUCAUCUAAAGCUAAAUACUGGCUGGAGACCGAUAGCGCACAAGUAGAGUGAUCGAAAGAUGAAAAGCACUUUGGAAAGAGAGUCAAACAGUACGUGAAAUUGUUGAAA